GGCGUGCCUACACAUGCAAGUCGAGCGAAGCGCAUUUUUUAGCUUGCUAAGAGAUGUGACUGAGCGGCGAACGGGUGAGUAACCCGUGGGUAAUCUACCUGAAAGUCUGGGAUAACAGUUCGAAAGGGCUACUAAUACCGGAUGAAGUUAUUAGUGUAGAGCUAAUAAUCAAAGCGUUACGGAGCGCUUUCAGAUGAGCCCGCGUCCCAUUAGCUAGUUGGUGAGGUAAAGGCUCACCAAGGCGACGAUGGGUAGCCGGUCUGAGAGGAUGGUCGGCCACACUGGAACUGAGACACGGUCCAGACUCCUACGGGAGGCAGCAGUGGGGAAUUUUGCGCAAUGGGGGCAACCCUGACGCAGCGACGCCGCGUGAGCGAAGAAGGCCUUCGGGUUGCAAAGCUCUGUCUGGGGGGAAGAUAGUGACGGUACCCCCGGAGGAAGCCCCGGCUAACUACGUGCCAGCAGCCGCGGUAAUACGUAGGGGGCGAGCGUUGUCCGGAAUUACUGGGCGUAAAGGGCGUGUAGGCGGCCAUGCAAGUCAGCUGUGAAACCCCCGGGCUCAACCCGGGACGUGCAGUUGAAACUGUAUGGCUUGAGUGCAGGAGAGGAGAGUGGAAUUCCUAGUGUAGCGGUGACAUGCGUAGAUAUUAGGAGGAACACCAGUGGCGAAGGCGGCUCUCUGGACUGUAACUGACGCUGAGGCGCGAAAGCGUGGGGAUCAAACAGGAUUAGAUACCCUGGUAGUCCACGCCGUAAACGAUGGGUACUAGG
rnacentral:rRNA from 1 species